rnacentral:lncRNA from 1 species
CGGGAACCCACACUGUCAGUUGCGUCUGCAGACGUCGCCUCCCCUCCCUCCCCCGCCUCUUUGCACCCGCCCUCACCGCACCGGCUGCUUCCUGAGCGGCUGUAUCCUACCGCCCCCCUAACCCCGCUCCUCCGCCAGCAGCAAUUACGCCUAAUGGAAGCUCAGCGUGACGCAGCUCGAGGUUCUAGGCAUCUGAAGCGCUGGCGCUGAGCUCCGGUCCCCAGGGGCUGCUGGGGCCCUGUGUCUCUCUGGACGAGCUGCGGGCUGGAGGCCUCCAAAUGUCACCACCUGCGUCCACAUCACAUUCCAGUGCCCCAGAGCACCCGGCUGCCGGAUGAGAAGGGGAGGAAGCUCGAUGUGUGCCAGGAACGUCUCGGAACCAUUCAACAGGAGGCUGUUCUGCCAGAUGCUGCCUUUUGGGGGAGCAGAGCACGGUAAGAGGGGGCUGCUCUUCACAGGGCAGGGUGAGAGUGGGGAGUGCCAGAAGCUCUGCCCUCAGCCUCACGCCUGGCUCUAUCCAAACCAGAGGUCUCUGCAGAACCCAGGAAGGCCUUGGACAGAGGCGAGGGCCCCUGGACAACUUCUGCUUCCCCUCCCGGUUCAGCCAGAUCUGCUGGGUCCAGCCCACACUUCUUCCUGGAAAGAAACAGCACCCAGCCACCCACCAGGCUGCUCCACGUUGGCCCCAGCCAAAGACUAAACCCCAAAGGAGGGAGGCCAGCGACCCUGCAAACAAGGCUCUCAAACCAGCAGCUGGGGAAAGGACACAGGUGGAGGGUGGAGGGCUUGGAUCCCCUUCUGCUGCCCAAGAGGAAGAAAUGAAUCCCCAGAGGCGUGGGUGACCUCUCUAUGCACUCACCCAGCACUUGAGGGCACAGAAUGGGAGCAGGUGAGGCCUGGGCCACAGCUCACUCUGAGGGCUCAGACUUAACUUCAGGGAGCCAAGGAGCAUUUAUUUAUAUCCCUGUUGCCUUCCUGGAGCAUUCAUUCCCCGAGUUUCCACCCAGGAAGUCUCAGCUAUGCCGCAGGAAGCUUUUCGGGUUCAACCUGGCACCAGAGUGUUCACAGGGACAACUGUCAGCCAUAGGAGCCGUAGUAAAGUGUGGUAUUUAUACCCAGUGGAAUGCCACCAUGCCGUCAAGAAUGAUAAACCCGAGUCAUUUGUAAGAACAUGGAUGCACCUUGAGAUCAUAAUGUCAAGUAAAAUAAAUCGGUCACAU